CCUACGGUGGGCAGCAGUGGGGAAUAUUGGACAAUGGGGGGAACCCUGAUCCAGCCAUGCCGCGUGUGUGAAGAAGGCCCUCGGGUUGUAAAGCACUUUCAGUGAGGAAGAACGCCUGGUGGUUAAUACCCAUCAGGAAAGACAUCACUCACAGAAGAAGCACCGGCUAACUCCGUGCCAGCAGCCGCGGUAAUACGGAGGGUGCGAGCGUUAAUCGGAAUUACUGGGCGUAAAGCGCGCGUAGGUGGCUUGAUAAGCCGGUUGUGAAAGCCCCGGGCUCAACCUGGGAACGGCAUCCGGAACUGUCAAGCUAGAGUGCAGGAGAGGAAGGUAGAAUUCCCGGUGUAGCGGUGAAAUGCGUAGAGAUCGGGAGGAAUACCAGUGGCGAAGGCGGCCUUCUGGACUGACACUGACACUGAGGUGCGAAAGCGUGGGUAGCAAACAGGAUUAGAUACCCCUGUAGUC
rnacentral:rRNA from 1 species